AGGUAAUUGUACUAAACUCUUCCACCAUAAUUGUGAUCUCAUCUUGGGAUUUGCCAAAAAACAUUUAUAGCAUGUCUGAGAAGUCCAGAGGAAGUAUAUAUCUCCUCUUUGCUCCAACCUUCUUGUAGCAGGGUUUGAGGGAGAAGGCUGCAAGGAGUCCUGUGGGAGGCCCUGGGGUCUUAUUAGUUGAAGGAAACAAAUCAUCAUACCUUUAAUACUGGCUCCAAUUUGCCCCUUUCAUGAGUAGUCUUGGAGAGAUAAUUGCUAAUCUGGAAUGGACAUACUUCUUGAUCUUGGUUGGCAUUUUUCAAACUGUGAUGAAGACACUUUUUAUAGCCCUGUUCAGAAUACAGAAGGAGACCUACUCUUCUUUGAUCACAAUCUAAAGACAGACAGAGGACAUGUGGAAAGAUCUGUCAUGGAUUAAAUAUAAACAAAAAUGAAGCAAGAAACAAAACUAGUCUUUCAAUGAAAAGCUGAAGAUGCUGAAGAAGAAAUGCAAAAUCAUUUCACAAGAAAAACAAAAUCAGACCAGGAUCACUUGGCGUACCAUCCUAGCAAAAUAUAUCUUCUUGGAGUUGCCCUGACAAUGCUCCUCAAAAACUACUUUCUUCAUCUUCUUGCGGGUUAAAUACUGGGAUUAAAUCCUAGCAUAAAAAUUACAUCUAAAAUGAAA
rnacentral:lncRNA from 1 species